CCUACGGGAGGCAGCAGUGGGGAAUAUUGGACAAUGGGGGGAACCCUGAUCCAGCCAUGCCGCGUGUGUGAAGAAGGCCCUCGGGUUGUAAAGCACUUUCAGUGAGGAAGAACGCCUGGUGGUUAAUACCCAUCAGGAAAGACAUCACUCACAGAAGAAGCACCGGCUAACUCCGUGCCAGCAGCCGCGGUAAUACGGAGGGUGCGAGCGUUAAUCGGAAUUACUGGGCGUAAAGAGCGCGUAGGUGGCUUGAUAAGCCGGUUGUGAAAGCCCCGGGCUCAACCUGGGAACGGCAUCCGGAACUGUCAAGCUAGAGUGCAGGAGAGGAAGGUAGAAUUCCCGGUGUAGCGGUGAAAUGCGUAGAGAUCGGGAGGAAUACCAGUGGCGAAGGCGGCCUUCUGGACUGACACUGACACUGAGGUGCGAAAGCGUGGGUAGCAAACAGGAUUAGAUACCCCUGUAGUC
rnacentral:rRNA from 1 species